GAAAGCACAGGGAAGAGCAAAAGCAACAAGUUGGCAACUACUUCUCGUUCUUGUGUUGAAAACUUGCUUCAAGUUUCUGUUUUGCUUUGUUGCUAAAGUUGACGUUCAUCAUCAAGCAUUCCAAAAGCAAGCUGCCUCUGCAAGCAAUUUUUUCUACCAUACCAAGUAGAUUAUUUCUUUAAUUUCUUGAAUAUUUCAAUUUUAUUUUUGGGAUCUGCCUUAUGUUGAUGUAAAUGGUUAUGGGGAUUAUUACCGAAUUAACAAG
rnacentral:misc_RNA from 1 species